GCACAGAAAGUACCUUGAUCACCUAGCCUAGAAGAGGUGAAUGGAGAGUAAGUAUCAGUAAUGGAGGUUUUUACAUCACCACACUUAUCCUUCUCGAACUCAAAAUUCCUUAAAGUAAUUGGUGGUUUAAAGAUAUAAUUUUUAGCCAAUUCUUGCCUUACUUUUUUAAAGAGGCAAAUUAGAUCAAGGGUAUUAUUGUCAUUUACUAAUAUUGAUAUUUCACUUUCCUUUCUUUUUAUCUUCUUUUAUCUUCCAUCCAUUUACAAAUUCAAAAUAAACAGGAGGGUAAGCUCUUUAGUCAAUUUAAUUACCAAAAAGAUCACCACACUUGCAUACUUAAGAUCUA
rnacentral:misc_RNA from 1 species